rnacentral:rRNA from 1 species
GACAGAGGGUGCAAACGUUGUUCGGAAUUACUGGGCGUAAAGCGCGUGUAGGCGGCCCUGCAAGUCGGGUGUGAAAUCCCACGGCUCAACCGUGGAAGUGCACUCGAAACUGCAGGGCUAGAGUCCUGGAGAGGAAGGUGGGAAUGCUUGGUGUAGAGGUGAAAUUCGUAGAUAUCAAGCGGAACACCGGUGGCGAAGGCGGCCUUCUGGACAGUGACUGACGGCUGAGACGCGAAAGCGUGGGGAGCAAACAGGGAUUAAGAAACCCCUGG